rnacentral:rRNA from 1 species
AGCAGCCGCGGUAAUUCCAGCUCCAAUAGCGUAUAUUAAAGUUGUUGCAGUUAAAAAGCUCGUAGUUGAAUUUCGAGACCGGCUUACUGGUCGUGCUAUUGUACGUACUGGUAUAAUCGGUUUCUCCUUUCUGACGAACUAUAAUGCCAUUAAUUUGGUGUUAUAGGGAAUCAGGACUGUUACUUUGAAAAAAUUUAGAGUGUUUAAAGCAGGCUCACGCUUGAAUGCAUUAGCAUGGAAUAACGGAAUAGGACGUUUGAUUCUAUUUUGUUGGUUUCUAGGAUCGACGUAAUGAUUAAUAGGGAUAGUUGGGGGCAUUAGUAUUCAAUUGUCAGAGGUGAAAUUCUUGGAUUUAUUGAAGACUAACUACUGCGAAAGCAUUUGCCAAGGAUGUUUUCAUUAAUCAAGAACGAAAGUUAGGGGAUCGAAGACGAUCAGAUACCGUCGUAGUCUUAACCAUAAACUAUGCCGACUAGGGAUCGGAUGAUGUUAAUUUUUUCAAUGACUCAUUCGGCGCCUU